rnacentral:rRNA from 1 species
ACAAAAAGUAAGUAAGGGCACAUGGCGGAUGCCUUGGCUCUCGGAGGCGAUGAAGGACGUGAUAAGCUGCGAUAAGCUGCGGGUAGGUGCAAAUGACCUUUGAUCCGCGGAUUUCCGAAUGGGACAACCCGGUACUUUGAAGAAGUAUCAUCCUGCAUUGCAGGAGGCUAACGCAGGGAACUGAAACAUCUUAGUACCUGCAGGAAAAGAAAAUAAACAAUGAUUCCCCCAGUAGUGGCGAGCGAACGGGGAAUAGCCCAAACCAUCCAUGUUACGGCAUGGGUGGGGUUGUAGGACCACGCCGUGGCAAGAAAGUUGGUGAGCAGAAUGUUCUGGAAAGUACAGCCAUAGAGCAUGAGAGCUGCGUAUGCGAAGCCAAGCGAAGCCUAGUGGUAUCCUGAGUAGCGCGGAGCACGAGGAAUUCUGCGUGAAUCUGCCGGGACCAUCCGGUAAGGCUAAAUACUCCCGAGAGACCGAUAGUGAACCAGUACUGUGAAGGAAAGGUGAAAAGCACUUCGAACAGAAGAGUGAAAUAGUUCCUGAAACCAUGUGCCUACAAGCGGUCGGAGCACCUUUUGGUGUGACGGCGUGCCUUUUGCAUAAUGAACCUACGAGUUACUUUUUCCGGCGAGGUUAAGGAUUUCAGAUCUGCAGCCGAAGCGAAAGCGAGUCUGAACAGGGCGUAUAGUCGGAAGGAGUAGACGCGAAACCAAGUGAUCUACCCUUGGGCAGGUUGAAGGAUGGGUAACACCAUCUGGAGGACCGAACCAAUAAGCGUUGAAAAGCUUCUGGAUGACCUGAGGGUGGGGGUGAAAGGCUAAUCAAACUUGGAGAUAGCUCGUACUCCCCGAAAUGCAUUUAGGUGCAGCCUUGACUUAUACUGGCAUGAGGUAGAGCGACUGAUAAGAUGCGAGGGCUUCACCGCCUAUCAAGUCUUGACAAACUCCGAAUGCGUGUCAGUUCUAUGUCAGGAGUGAGGGCAUGGGUGCUAAGGUCCAUGUCCUAAAGGAGAACAAUCCGGACCAACAGCUAAGGUCCCGAAAUGAAUACUAAGUUGAACUAACGAAGUCAGAUUGCUAAGACAGCUAGGAUGUUGGCUUGGAAGCAGCCAUUCAUUUAAAGAGUGCGUAACAGCUCACUAGUCGAGGAGUUUGGCGUGGAUAAUAAUCGGGCAUAAGUAUUCUACCGAAGCUUUGGGAUGAGAAAUCAUCGGUAGGGGAGCAUUCCACUCGGCGUCGAAGGUGAGGCGCGAGCUUUGCUGGAGCGUGUGGAAAAGCAAAUGUAGGUAUAAGUAACGAUAAAGGGGGUGGGAAACCCCCUCGCCGAAAGACUAAGGUUUCCUGAUCAACGCUAAUCGGAUCAGGGUAAGUCGGGUCCUAAGGCUCAGCCGAACGGCGAGGCCGAUGGCAGAACCGGUUAAUAUUCCGGUACUACCUGUGGGAGUGACGUGGAGACGGAGUCGUGACAGCGCCGCGGACUGACGGAAUAGUCCGUUGAAGGGUGUAGAUGCUGAUUGUUCCAGGCAAAUCCGGAGCAAGAGUCGAACCUGAUAGUAUGGAGCGUUCUUAGAACAAUCCAAUAGUGCGUGUAAUCAUACUUCCAAGAAAAUCCGCUAAACUUAAUCCUGCAGGUACCCGUACCGCAAACGGACACACGUAGUCGGGUUGAAUAUACUAAGGCGCUUGAGUGAUUCACGGUUAAGGAACUAGGCAAACUGACCCUGUAACUUCGGGAUAAAGGGUCCUCGCUUUACGGCGAGGCGCAGAGAAUAGGUCCAGGCAACUGUUUAACAAAAACACAGGGCUGUGCAAAAUUGAAAGAUGAAGUAUACAGCCUGACACCUGCCCGGUGCUGGAAGGUUAAGAGGAGAUGUCAUCGCAAGAGAAGCAUUGAAUUGAAGCCCCAGUAAACGGCGGCCGUAACUAUAACGGUCCUAAGGUAGCGAAAUUCCUUGUCGGGUAAGUUCCGACC